UGACCUCGGAUCAGACGUGAUUACCCGCUGAAUUUAAGCAUAUUAUUAAGCGGAGGAAAAGAAACUAACAAGGAUUCCCCUAGUAACGGCGAGUGAACGGGGAAGAGCCCAACACCGAAUCCCUUGGCGCAAGUCAACGGGAAAUGUGGUGUUAAGGUAGCCCUUCGUGUCAGUCUAGGCGUCUCAAGUCCACCUGAUUGUGGCUCAAGCCCAGAGAGGGUGUAAGGCCCGUAGAGACGCUCCGACUGAUUCCUGGGGUUUACCUACGAGUCGGCUUGUUUGGGAAUGCAGGCCAAAGCGGGUGGUAAACUCCAUCCAAGGCUAAAUACUGGCACGAGUCCGAUAGCGGACAAGUACCGUGAGGGAAAGUUGAAAAGAACUUUGAAGAGAGAGUUCAAUAGUACGUGAAACCGCUUAGAGGCAAACGGAUGGUGCUCAUACUGGCCUGAGGAAUUCAACUGUGACGGUGGCUGGACGAGCUGGCGUUCCGAUCUCUCUUUUGGGACGGGCGUCGGUUUGGCUAUCAGCUCCGACAUGGUGCACUUUCCUUGGUGCCUCCGCCACGACCGACGACACUGGCUACCCGCGGCUGGGGUAAGGUGACAAACUGCUUCGGCAAUUUGUGUUAUAGACCCCGGCGUCGGACAUGGUUUGGCCAGGACGUCGAGCUUGCGGCGCCCGCUCCUUGUGGGCUCGCAUGUUGGCUAGCUUGGCUGCGCCGAUGCUUGCACUGGACAACCAGUACAGGUGACGGUUGUGGUCUUGUCUCUAGUUGGCCUCUGCGAGUUUGGCGCCUAUAGUCUGUGGUGUACUUGUGGGUAGACUAUCCGACCCGUCUUGAAACACGGACCAAGGAGUCUAACAUGUGCGCGAGUCAUGGGGAUUCUACGAAACCCAAAGGCGCAGUGAAAGUAAAGGCCUGCUUCUCGUAGGCUGAGGUGGGAUCUCGUGCAUCGCGAUUGGCGAGCGCACCACCGGCCCGUCCUAUCUGUCUCUGUCAGUGGGGCGGCGCAAGAGCGUACACGUUGGGACCCGAAAGAUGGUGAACUAUGCUUGCGCAGCUCGAAGUCAGUGGAAACACUGAUGGAGGAGCGCAGCGUUUCUGACGUGCAAAUCGAUCGUCAAACGUGAGUAUAGGGGCGAAAGACUAAUCGAACCAUCUAGUAGCUGGUUCCCUCCGAAGUUUCCCUCAGGAUAGCUGGCACUCGGGAAACAGUUUUAUCCGGUAAAGCGAAUGAUUAGAGGCAUUGGGGUCGAAACGACCUCGACCUAUUCUCAAACUUUAAAUGGGUAAGAUGCUCGUCUCGCUUAAUUGGAGGCGGGCUUCACCUCUCUAUAAACGUGAAUGUGAGUGCCCAGUGGGCCAUUUUUUGGUAAGCAGAACUGGCGCUGUGGGAUGAACCAAACGCGCGGUUAAGGCGCCCAAUGCGGACGCUCAUGAGACACCACAAAAGGUGUUGGUCGAUACUGACAGCAGGACGGUGGCCAUGGAAGUCGGAACCCGCUAAGGAGUGUGUAACAACUCACCUGCCGAAUCAACCAGCCCUGAAAAUGGAUGGCGCUGGAGCGUCGGGCCUAUACCGUGCCGUUGGGGCGAAGCAGACAAAUAAUCUGUGUGGAUGUCCAACGAGUAGGAGGGUCGCCGUGGUGAGCGCAGAAGGUGCGGCCGUGAGGCCGGCUGGAGCCGCACGGGCGCAGAUCUUGGUGUGGUAGUAGCAAUUACUCAAGUGAGAACCUUGAGGACUGAAGUGGAGAAGGGUUCCAUGUGGAACAGCAGUUGAAC
rfam:Macrostomum lignano uti_cns_0049034, whole genome shotgun sequence.